rnacentral:lncRNA from 1 species
GUUAUUUGACUGGAGUGAGGUCUCAUGUCUGCUUAUGCGGUGGCUCGCUGCUCAGAACAGGAAACCAUGAGCUAUCAAUUGCUACUGGCAAUGGUCCUGGGAAGUCAACCCUAAGUAUGGAUUCUGGGGUUGGAUGACUCCCCACAGGACUUCAGUGAGCAACAAUCACUGCUGGCAGUUGGAGGACAGAGUCGCUAGGGCAUGUGACCACUGUGAAACCACCGAUGUUUCACCUGGGGUAAUUUUGGAUGAACUACGGUAGAAGCACUGAAGCCUAGCUAGAUGCCUGGAAUUUCCCUUGAAGGAAGUCAAGAUUUUCCUUUAUCUCCAUACUGGCUGAUGGUGAUCGAGUAAGCCCCUAAGAGGGGUCCCUGCUCCAUCUCGAGAUGCUGCUAGAUUCUACAGUGCCUAAUAAACAGCUCUCGCCUGGCCGACAAAGAGCUGCUUGCUCUCUGGAUAGCAAUUCCAAAGUGAACAGACAACAUCCUGUUUGGAAGACUGCCACUCUGUUAGAAGAAGCAUCAGGAAAACCUUUCUUUUGAGCUAUUUAUAACUAACAGCAAUUGACCAAGUAUACUUUUGAACCAUUGGAGAUACUCAUUACUCUUUGAAGGCUUACAGUGGAAUGAAUUCAAAUACGACUUAUUUGAGGAAUUGAAGUUGACUUUAUGGAGCUGAUAAGAAUCUUCUUGGAGAAAAAAAGACUGGGUAUAUUUUCAAUAUGCUUUCCUUUUAAGGUCCCUCACCUGUGGAAAGUAAAGAAUGUCACUUUCUGACAGGCUCAGGAACCUCAAGUUAUGUAGGGAUCUCAAGAAGAUGGGGGAAUUCACCCAGUUCAUACAGGUGAAAUUGCUGUUGCAAAGAUUAUGAAUAUGAGAGAAGUCCAGCAUGGCUGACUUCAUCUCGUGUCUGGCCUCAGGCUGGCUGCCCUUGCUCACUCUUGGGCAUAGGCCAAGCUAGCCAUGGGAGGAAUUUAGUUUAUAGUUUAACUUUGAAGCACGGAUGAUAAUAGUCUCUCCCUAAAAUGAACCCCUUCCUUGCUCAGGGACUGAAACUACCUUUGUAUGACAAAUGAAAGCCCACAAGAUUAAGAUUAUGAGAGGGGCCUGAAUUCUGCUAAAAUGCAGGUGUAGCUGACUGAUAACAAGUCAUUGUCCCACAGCUUGCCUUUCUAUAAUCUCUUGCUUCUCAGGAGUCACAUGGCCAGAGGUCCUGAGAUUUCCAGUCCUGUGACCCCCACCCAGAGAUGGACUUAGUGCAUGAGGACCAUUUUCCACACCCCUAUGAUUUCAUCCUCAAACAAUCAGCAGCAACCAUUCCCUAGCCCCCUGCCUUCCAAAUUAUCCAUAAAAAUCC